rnacentral:lncRNA from 1 species
CACAAAAUUUUUCAUCCAUUUCUUUACAAGUAUGAGCAUUUCAUGAAGGAUAUGGUGAAACAUGUAAAAAAUGACACAUGAACAAAAUCAAUAGGCCAAUUAAAUUUCCACACGUGCAAAAAAUCCACAAAAAUCAUCAUAAAAUUCUACACAUUAUCAUGAGCAUGGCACAAAAAAUUUCACAAAAUUUGGAUAAGUUAUGAAGCCUAUAGGAAUUUUUGAAGUUCAUGUAACAAAAAAAAAACAAAUGAAAAAGAAAUAGAAUAAAUCAAUUAAUUAAAGGCGGAAAUGGCAAUCCUGUAAUUUUUAAGCACCAGCCAAAACUACGUCGUUUGGCUCAGUGGAAACGAAAUGUUUUGAUUGGC